rnacentral:antisense_RNA from 1 species
GGGUCAGUAUUUGUGUUAAUUGUCUCUUGUCUCAAAUCCGAGUGAAUAUUUCCAAUAACAGGAGAUAGAUGUUGCUUAAAUAAUGAAAUUGGGUUUAAAUAUUCCAUUGUAAUGUAUAACGACUCAAAGCUUCUCCAUUUAAAUUCAAUAGACUUUGUAACUUCUUCUGAAUUUAUGCCCUUAAGUUCAUUACUGUAGAUAUUGAUCUUUAUAUUUUCAUCUGAUGGCCCCCAAACCCUCCAUGACCUGAUAGGUAGUUGAUGAGGCCAUCUUGUUCCUCCAAAGUAUUGAAAUCCUAACCUUGAGUCGAACUUAUUAGAAUGGCCAUUGCGAAUAUAAUCAACAGCAUAUGCCUUUAUUCCAUGAAUGCUCCCUAACGUAGUUCCAAUUACCCAAGUAUCUUUGGAUUUAUUAAUUACUAUCCCUCGAUACAACACGUAUCCAGGGUGAUUUUUCUUCUUAUUUCUUUUUUGUCUAAAGAAAGGGAAUCCUAGAUAUUCUCCCAAAUGAAAAUAAUCUCCAUUGAUAUCAUCAGUGCCUCCAUUUAUUACCAUUUUAACAUGUUUUGGUUUGAUACCUAUAAUUCUGACAAAAACUUUUUCUUCAACAAAAUUACUAUUUGGAAUAUUAUGCACAUAUUUCUUUUUAAAUGGGGGUUUCAAAAAUGCCCAACCAUCAGGCUCUAAUUCCAUCCCUCUUUCAGCAGGCCAAUCAACUUCGGAUUUAAUUCUUGAAUUGCUUGGCCUUCUCCAAAUAGCCAAAAUUUGGCUGGGGCUAGUAUUUCCCAAUUGCCUUGAAAUAAUCCACGAUAUGGCAUUUGACUCAUUAACAAAUGACCAAAGGUACAGACUAUUUCCAGGGUAUUCUACUAUUGAACUUUGUAAGCUAACGUCCUCACUUCUUAAGGGCCCCCUUUGUACAAAGUAUGGCCUACUCUUAAAAAAUCCCUCCCAACUAUAUAAGGCAUUAGAGAAGUAUCCAUUCGCACCAUUAAUUAUAAUAUCUAAAGUUCCCCGUGAAGGUGGUAUACAUGAAGAAAUUUUGUAUUUUGUUAAUCCGCUAAAUUUACUUAAAUGAGGAUUGGGACAACCCGGAAAUACUUGUAAAUCGUCGGGUGAUUCAACUAAAGGAAUAUGUUCAAGAAUAAUUGAUUCCUUAGGUAUAAAAGUAAAUGGUCUUGCUUCUUCAACAAUCAAAUCCUUAUCAAAAACCAAUACACGCUUAGACUCCAUUUCUUUAGGUAUUGUAACAGGUAAUGGAUUCCUCAAGGGGGUGCUAGGAUCUAGUUCGACGUAUGGAACUAUAUCAUGAGCACUAAACUUUCUUGGCUGAACAUACCAUCCUCUAGUGUAUGCAGGGGAGUAUGGCCUUCCAAUUAUUUCUGCAUAAAUUUGUCCAACUGAUAUUUUUGGGUUAUUAAUUGGCCAAGUAUCUCCAAUACACCAUCUUUCUAUGGGGAAAUUUAAAAAAAAUAUGUACAAGCUUGGCUCAGGAUAAAUUCUUCUAUAAACUGGCCUAAUAAUUGGCUCAACAUACCAAGGAAACCUUUCAUCACUUUGAGACAAUUGCAUUGAUUCUUCUCUCUUAUAUAUUCCAUGUAAUGCAGCAUUAUAUGAGGAACUACGGACUUCAAUAAAUAGUGGAGUAUAUCUUGCAUAUGGA